rnacentral:sRNA from 1 species
GCUGGGCAUGGUGGUUCAUGCCUGUAAUCCCAACAACUUGGGAGGCUGGUGCAGGAGGAUCACAAGUUCAAGGCCAGCCUCUGAAAAUUACUGAGGCCCUAAGCAACUCAGUGAGACCCUGUCUCAA